GGAUGCGAUCAUACAAGCACUAAAGCACCGGAUCCCAUCAGAACUCUGUAGUUAAGCGUGCUUGGGUAAGAGUAGAACUAGGAUGGGUGACCUCUUGGGAAGUCCUCGUGUUGCAUUCC
rnacentral:rRNA from 1 species